GACGAACGCUGGCGGCGUGCCUAAUACAUGCAAGUUGAGCGCUGAAGGUUGGUACUUGUACCAACUGGAUGAGCAGCGAACGGGUGAGUAACGCGUGGGGAAUCUGCCUUUGAGCGGGGGACAACAUUUGGAAACGAAUGCUAAUACCGCAUAAAAACUUUAAACACAAGUUUUAAGUUUGAAAGAUGCAAUUGCAUCACUCAAAGAUGAUCCCGCGUUGUAUUAGCUAGUUGGUGAGGUAAAGGCUCACCAAGGCGAUGAUUCAUAGCCGACCUGAGAGGGUGAUCGGCCACAUUGGGACUGAGACACGGCCCAAACUCCUACGGGAGGCAGCAGUAGGGAAUCUUCGGCAAUGGACGAAAGUCUGACCGAGCAACGCCGCGUGAGUGAAGAAGGUUUUCGGAUCGUAAAACUCUGUUGGUAGAGAAGAACGUUGGUGAGAGUGGAAAGCUCAUCAAGUGACGGUAACUACCCAGAAAGGGGCGGCUAACUACGUG
rnacentral:rRNA from 1 species